rnacentral:rRNA from 1 species
UACGUAGGGUGCGAGCGUUGUCCGGAAUUACUGGGCGUAAAGAGCUCGUAGGUGGUUUGUCGCGUUGUUCGUGAAAACUCACAGCUUAACUGUGGGCGUGCGGGCGAUACGGGCAGACUGGAGUACUGCAGGGGAGACUGGAAUUCCGGGUGUAGCGGUGGAAUGCGUAGAGAUCCGGAAGAACACCGGUGGCGAAGGCGGCUCGCUGGGCAGUGGCUGACGCUGAGGCGCGACAGCGUGGGGAGCAAACAGG